rnacentral:rRNA from 1 species
GGGGAAUAUUGCACAAUGGGGGACAUCGUGAUGCAGCGACGCCGCGUGGAGGAAGAAGGUCUUCGGAUUGUAAACUCCUGUUGUCGAGGAAGAUAAUGACGGUACUCAACAAGGAAGUGACGGCUAACUACGUGCCAGCAGCCGCGGUAAAACGUAGGUCACAAGCGUUGUCCGGAAUUACUGGGUGUAAAGGGAGCGCAGGCGGGAGAACAAGUUGGAAGUGAAAUCCAUGGGCUCAACCCAUGAACUGCUUUCAAAACUGUUUUUCUUGAGUAGUGCAGAGGUAGGCGGAAUUCCCGGUGUAGCGGUGGAAUGCGUAGAUAUCGGGAGGAACACCAGUGGCGAAGGCGGCCUACUGGGCACCAACUAACGCUGAGGCUCGAAAGUGUGGGUAGCAAACAGGAUUAGAUACCCUGGUAGUCCACACCGUAAACGAUGAUUACUAGGUGUUGGAGGAU